rnacentral:rRNA from 1 species
UACGGGGGGGCAAGCGUUGUUCGGAAUUACUGGGCGUAAAGGGCUCGUAGGCGGCCAACUAAGUCAGACGUGAAAUCCCUCGGCUUAACCGGGGAACUGCAUCUGAUACUGGAUGGCUUGAGAUUGGGAGAGGGAUGCGGAAUUCCAGGUGUAGCGGUGAAAUGCGUAGAUAUCUGGAGGAACACCGGUGGCGAAGGCGGCAUCCUGGACCAACACUGACGCUGAGGAGCGAAAGCCAGGGGA